rnacentral:misc_RNA from 1 species
AUAUUUUUCCCAGACGCGGAGGUUGGGGUCAUGGCGCCCCGAAGCCUCCUCCUGCUGCUCUCAGGGGCCCUGGCCCUGACCGAUACUUGGGCAGCGACGCCGCGAUUCCGAGGAUGGAGCCGCGGGAGCCGUGGGUGGAGCAAGAGGGGCCGCAGUAUUGGGAGUGGACCACAGGGUACGCCAAGGCCAACGCACAGACUGACCGAGUGGCCCUGAGGAACCUGCUCCGCCGCUACAACCAGAGCGAGGCUGGGUCUCACACCCUCCAGGGAAUGAAUGGCUGCGACAUGGGGCCCGACGGACGCCUCCUCCGCGGGUAUCACCAGCACGCGUACGACGGCAAGGAUUACAUCUCCCUGAACGAGGACCUGCGCUCCUGGACCGCGGCGGACACCGUGGCUCAGAUCACCCAGCGCUUCUAUGAGGCAGAGGAAUAUGCAGAGGAGUUCAGGACCUACCUGGAGGGCGAGUGCCUGGAGUUGCUCCGCAGAUACUUGGAGAAUGGGAAGGAGACGCUACAGCGCGCAGAUCCUCCAAAGGCACACGUUGCCCACCACCCCAUCUCUGACCAUGAGGCCACCCUGA